rnacentral:rRNA from 1 species
GACGAACGCUGGCGGCGUGCUUAACACAUGCAAGUCGAACGGAAAGGCCCUGCUUUUGUGGGGUGCUCGAGUGGCGAACGGGUGAGUAACACGUGAGUAACCUGCCCUUGACUUUGGGAUAACUUCAGGAAACUGGGGCUAAUACCGGAUAGGAGCUCCUGCUGCAUGGUGGGGGUUGGAAAGUUUCGGCGGUUGGGGAUGGACUCGCGGCUUAUCAGCUUGUUGGUGGGGUAGUGGCUUACCAAGGCUUUGACGGGUAGCCGGCCUGAGAGGGUGACCGGCACCUUGGGGCUGGGAAUCCGGCCCGGACUCUUCCGGGGGGCAACGUGGGGAAUAUUGGCCCAUGGGGCGGAAGCUGGUGGCGGCACCCCCGGGUCCGGGUUGACGGCCUUGGGUUGGUAACCGGUUUUCGCUUUGGACGAGGCGUGAUUGCCGUUAUGGGUAAAGGAGCCACGGCUUACCUCCGU